ensembl:snoRNA
AUCUGUGUCCCUUUCGUACGUGGUGAUUGGGCUUCCACGCAUUUGAGUGGCAUGUGCCGCCCAUCAACCUUGUCCGAUGUCUGCACAUUACCCGUCUGAUA